rnacentral:tRNA from 5 species
GGUGAGGUGGCGGAGCGGUUGAACGCACCAGUCUUGAAAACUGGCGUGGCCUCCGGGUCACCGUGGGUUCGAAUCCCACCCUCACCG